ACCUGACUGGCUCAGUUGGUAGAGUGUGUGACUCUUGAUCUCGGGGUUUUGGGCUCGAGCCCCAUGUUGAGUG
rnacentral:tRNA from 1 species